AGCGUUGUCCGGAUUUACUGGGCGUAAAGAGCGCGCAGGCGGUCGUUCAAGUCGAGUGUGAAAGCCCCCGGCUCAACUGGGGAGGGUCAUUCGAUACUGAUCGACUCGAAGGCAGGAGAGGGAAGCGGAAUUCCCGGUGUAGUGGUGAAAUGCGUAGAUAUCGGGAGGAACACCAGUGGCGAAGGCGGCUUCCUGGCCUGUUCUUGACGCUGAGGCGCGAAAGCUAGGGGAGCAAACGGG
rnacentral:rRNA from 1 species